CCUUCAAGAGGCUGCAGCUUUCUCUCCUUGGUGCCAGAGUUUUGCUGAUCACACCAGAGUACCUCGCUCACCACUCACCUGCUGUUUGUACAUAGCACUCUCUUCCAUGAAGACACACUCCCUGGACCUCUGUAUUUUCCCUGUUUGCCUGCACAAGAAAACUCUUAAAACUUCCUCCGACUGUAUUUGGGUUCAACCAUCCACCACACGUCACAAGUACAAUGAUCACAUUGAUCUGAAACUGCUAACCCCUCGCAACCUUGCAAAACGGAUGGAUUGGCCAGACUCCAUGCCUGUCAUCAGGCAAACCCAUCUUGCUCUCGUCUGCAAUGUUUGUGGCAAACCAGAUCCAUCAGCGUCAUUGAAGAGAAUGAGGCAGUGGCUAGAGAUGGGGUUUAGUUGCUCUGUGAGCCAACAGCAACUUUCGUGUUAGCUCGGUGGAGGAUAGUGGCAGCUUUCUCACAACUGGACCAUAUUUCUUUAUACAAUAAAGAGCAAGAAACAGCA